UGACCCGUGGUGUAAUGGCAACACUGCAGAUUCUGGAUCUGCCUUUCUUGGUUCGAAUCCAGGCGGGUCAA
rnacentral:tRNA from 1 species